rnacentral:rRNA from 1 species
CCUACGGGUGGCAGCAGUGAGGAAUAUUGGUCAAUGGUCGGGAGACUGAACCAGCCAAGCCGCGUGAGGGAUGAAGGUACAGAGUAUCGUAAACCUCUUUUGUCAGGGAACAAAGGCGGGGACGCGUCCCCGGAUGAGUGGACCUGAAGAAAAAGCAUCGGCUAACUCCGUUCCAGCAGCCGCGGUAAUACGGAGGAUGCGAGCGUUAUCCGGAUUUAUUGGGUUUAAAGGGUGCGCAGGCGGUAUGUUAAGUCAGCGGUAAAAGCCCGGGGCUCAACCCCGGCCCGCCGUUGAAACUGGCAGUCUCGAGUGGGAGAGAAGUAUGCGGAAUGCGCGGUGUAGCGGUGAAAUGCAUAGAUAUCGCGCAGAACUCCGAUUGCGAAGGCAGCAUGCCGGCUCCACACUGACGCUGAGGCACGAAAGCGUGGGUAUCGAACAGGAUUAGAUACCCCAGUAGUC